GGAGAGAUGGCUCAGUGGUUAAGAGCACUGACUGCUCUUCCAGAGGUCCUGAGUUCAAAUCCUAGUAACUACA
rnacentral:tRNA from 1 species